UGGGGAAUAUUGCACAAUGGGCGCAAGCCUGAUGCAGCCAUGCCGCGUGUAUGAAGAAGGCCUUCGGGUUGUAAAGUACUUUCAGCGGGGAGGAAGGGAGUAAAGUUAAUACCUUUGCUCAUUGACGUUACCCGCAGAAGAAGCACCGGCUAACUCCGUGCCAGCAGCCGCGGUAAUACGGAGGGUGCAAGCGUUAAUCGGAAUUACUGGGCGUAAAGCGCACGCAGGCGGUUUGUUAAGUCAGAUGUGAAAUCCCCGGGCUCAACCUGGGAACUGCAUCUGAUAAUGGCAAGCUUGAGUCUCGUAGAGGGGGGUAGAAUUCCAGGUGUAGCGGUGAAAUGCGUAGAGAUCUGGAGGAAUACCGGUGGCGAAGGCGGCCCCCUGGACAAAGACUGACGCUCAGGUGCGAAAGCGUGGGGAGCAAACAGG
rnacentral:rRNA from 1 species